UCUAGUGAUAAUGGCAAAGAGGUCACACCCGUUCCCAUACCGAACACGGAAGUUAAGCUCUUUAGCGCCGAUGGUGUUUCGUCUUUUUUAUUGUUUGAA
rnacentral:rRNA from 1 species